AACCGUGGUAAUUCUAGAGCUAAUACAUGCUAAAAACCUCGACUUCGGAAGGGGUGUAUUUAUUAGAUAAAAAACCAAUGCCCUCUGGGCUCCGUGGUGAUUCAUAAUAACUCAACGAAUCGCAUGGCCUUGCGCCGGCGAUGGUUCAUUCAAAUUUCUGCCCUAUCAACUUUCGAUGGUAGGAUAGUGGCCUACCAUGGUCUCAACGGGUAACGGGGAAUUAGGGUUCUAUUCCGGAGAGGGAGCCUGAGAAACGGCUACCACAUCCAAGGAAGGCAGCAGGCGCGCAAAUUACCCAAUCCCAAUUCGGGGAGGUAGUGACAAUAAAUACUGAUACGGGGCUCUUUCGGGUCUCGUAAUCGGAAUGAGUACAAUCUAAAUCCCUUAACGAGGAACAAUUGGAGGGCAAGUCUGGUGCCAGCAGCCGCGGUAAUUCCAGCUCCAAUAGCGUAUAUUAAAGUUGUUGCCGUUAAAAAGCUCGUAGUUGAACCUUGGACCUGGCUGAUCUGUCCUCCUAAUCGAGCGCACGGAUUCGGUCGGGUCUUUCCUUCUGGGGAACCCGAUGCCCUUCACUGGGUGUCGUGGGGAACCAGGACUUUUACCUUGAAAAAAUUAGAGUGUUCAAAGCAGGCCUUUGCUCGAAUACAUUAGCAUGGAAUAAUAGAAUAGGACAUCGGUUCUAUUUUGUUGGUUUCUAGGACCGCUGUAAUGAUUAAUAGGGAUAGUCGGGGGCGUCAGUAUUCAAUUGUCAGAGGUGAAAUUCUUGGAUUUAUUGAAGACUAACUACUGCGAAAGCAUUCGCCAAGGAUGUUUUCAUUAAUCAGUGAACGAAAGUUAGGGGAUCGAAGACGAUCAGAUACCGUCGUAGUCUUAACCAUAAACUAUGCCGACUAGGGAUCGGACGGUGGUUUUUUUAUGCCCCGUUCGGCACCUUACGAGAA
rnacentral:rRNA from 1 species